UGCGUCUCAGUUUGCCUCAGACUUAAGUGGCUGGUGGAAGUGAGAGAUCUCUAAAGAUUCACCCAAUCCCAUUGUUCUAAGGUAAUAAAUCCUAUAAUUGCUGUAUCCUCAGAACCCAGCACGGGGCACUGCAUACGGUAGAUCUGCUUAACCAUGUACCAAAUGCAUCCGCCUCUUCCCCAACAUCCAUUACUACUGGAACCCACCAAGAACUGAAUUCCAUGGUACUUCUCAGGAUUCUUGAGGUCUGGACUAAGCCCUGGAUUGGGAAAGACGUGUUUAUGAUGCAGACCAGUUGGGGAGAUUUUUCUUGAAGGAGCAGCAGCUUGGGAAUAGCUGACCUGAUUUUAUCCAACAUGGAUGUCUUGAUCCAAGAGAAAAAAAGGGAUCCCUUCAAAGUCCUUUCCCCAGUUUCCUGCUUAGUCCCACUCCUAGAGCCCUAGGGGGUUCUGUAGCUCCUCUAUAUUUUCAGGGAACUGAGCUGAAGCCAAUACGAGAUUUUAAAAGAUACCCUAUCCUUAAGCAAAGUGCAGAUCCUGAGACUCAGAGAGGUUAAGAAACUCGCCCAACGCCACACAGCUAGAUAAACACCUCAGGAUUUAAAUAGAUUGCAGGGGACACCAACAAGGCUCUGCUCAGAUCCCCUCAGAUCCCUCUGGCCCAUCUGUGCAUGCAGUAACAUCUGCUUCACCGUUGACUGCUUGAACCUGUGGAUCCACUUCACCUAAGAGCACAGAGAGCUGAAAGGGCCUGGAAUCCUGUUGCCUCCCGGGCAGCCUGCAGCCAAUGAGUAACUGGUGCUGGAAAACAGAAGGCUGCUCCCUUGCUGGAGAACUGAUGCCCCAGUGAUUCUGCUGCCUCUGCCAGAGUCAGAAAACUGUGGAUGUGGGAAGCUGCCCGUGGAGUCAGGAAGUCAUCCCUACUGAUGGAGCCUCUGCAGCCACCUUGGUCCUGGUCCACACCAGCAAUGUUGAUGCUGCCCUGCAGCCUGCCUAUCCCCUGGCUUAAUUCCGGCUCCAUGCAUGUGACGAGCAGAAAAAAGAAAGUCGCAUCUGGACCUCCGGCGGCAAGGGAGUCUGAGAAAGAUAGAUCUGUGCAUGGUCAUCUUAACCCUCCUGUAUCCUUAAAGCCCAGCACCAGGUCAAUUCUUCUGCAUCAGUUAAGCUCCUUGGAGGCCCAGACAACAGCACUUAAUUCAGCAUUGCCCUGAGAGCUGGCAUGGUGCUGGCUAGGUGACUGGCAUUAUGGAAAACUGACUGCAUCUGCUUUAGGAAGAGAGGCAUGUCCAGAGUGGAAAUUCUGGAAGCUCCUUGCAAAACUAAUACCUGGGCUUCUGCACCUCCCCAGCUUGAUGUCUGCUCUUAUCCCUCAUCUCUGCAAAGCCAGGUGCUUCCUCUUGCUUAAAGACCAGCUCAAGGCUCUCUUAUUCCAAGAACUGACUCCAUUACCUCCAGCUAGAUAUAAGCCCAUGGGUCUGUGGAUCCUUCUGAUGUGAAUUUACCUGGAUUUCUGUUUUUCACGGACAGAGGGCUUCAGGAAAGCUCCUGGCCUGACAUGAUGCUAGGCACAUAGUAUUGCUCUUUCCUUCCUACAUCCUCUUCUAGGGAGGGCAUCUUAUCCACCUUGAACAUUCCUACCAUGGAAAACAGUGGCUUGCACAUAGCACAAGGUCAGUUAAUAUUUUGGAUUCCUACAUAAGUCUCAGAGAUGUUAAUAGGAAUUACCAUCUUGUUGCAAUGAAUGUGAGCAAGUAUGUGUUGUGCACAUAAAUUAUCCCACUCCCGCCAAAGGACUAUGUUACUCUUUUUCAAUUACCCAAGCAACUACUCCAGUGCCUUAUGCAUGAUUACCUUCUCUAAGUAUUUUCUUUCUAAAUUAAUACAAUUAUUAACUUCUCAGGGUGUGAACUGUAAAGGGGAAAAUGUGUGCUUCUCUGUUUAAAACAUUAGUAUCUUUAUUUUAAAUCUACUCCAGACUUGCCCAGACUCCUUCACUACUCAGAGUCUCUGAGCAUCGGCUUCCUUAACAUUCAAAAUGGAAAUGAUAAUAAAAACUUUGCACAUCUCUAAAAAUCUCUGAAAAAAAAAAUUUGUCACAUUGAACACAUAAAGCAAGCACUGGAUAAAUUGUAGCUGCAUGGUAUAGUACAGACAACUUGAGACAUAGAUGGAAGGCAGAGCCUAUAUUUUAUUCCUGCCAAACAAAAAUUAAAACAAAGGCAUUAUAAGAACCCAGUGUUGGUGACAUUUGUGAUGGAACAGGCACACUUAUUUUGGAGGCCUGUUUAGCAAUGCUUACCAGGAGUCAUAAAUAUUUUCAUAUACUUUUACCACCGCACAGCAGUUCUAAGAAUUACUACAGGAGAAUGAUUUUUAGAGAGGAACAAGUUAAAUAUAGGCAUCAGUGUAAUUUACAAAGGUGAAAACAAAAAGUAACCUAAAUGCACAUGAAUGGGAGCAAGGUUACAUAAAUUACAGUGCAACAAUGUAAUGGAAUAUCUCACAGCAAUUAAGAAGGCUAAAGACAAAUCCCAGGUAGAAACAUUUAGUGAUUGAAAAUAAUAAGUGUAAUGGUAAAACACAAUUUUAUGUAUACUUUGAUUAAAAUGAUUCAAAAUGAUAUAUUUACUUACAGCCGUGAAGAAAAGAAUAAAGACAUGAACAUGUUUGCUGUGUUAUAUUAGUGAAAUUAAAUUUAUUUUAUACAUGCUAUAUAUGUAUGUAUACAUGCAUGUGCGUAUGUAUGUAUACAUUUAUGUAAAUAUAUAGAUGCAUGAAUACACAUAUGUAUAUGUAAAUAUGUAUAUGUACAUAAAUGUGUAUGUACACUUAUAUAGGUGUAUAUGCAUGUACAUAUGUAUGUGUAUAUGUAUAUGUGUAUAUCUACAUAUGUAUAUGUGUAUAUAUACCUUUAUGUACAUAUAUAAAAAUAUUUUAAUUUUUAUUUUAAAUACUUUAUAUAAAAUUUACACACACAUCUAUAUCUAUAAAAGUAGAUAUAUGUAUAUAUCUGUAUACAGAUAUAUAUGUAUACAUAUAUACAUAUAUACACAUAUAUACAUAUAUACAUAUCUGUAUACAGAUAUAUAUACAUAUAUAUCUGUAUAUAUGUACAUAUAUACAUAUAUACAUAUAUAUGCAUACAUAUAUACAUAUAUGCACAUAUACACAUAUAUGUACAUAUAUGCAUAUAUAUACAUAUAUACAUAUAUACACACACAUAUAUAUAUACAUGUCUACUUUUGAAAAUCUUCCUAAUAGUUCUGCAAGGCAGGUUUUAGUACCUUGAGGAAACAGGUGACAAUAUUUUACUAAAUCACAUAUCUAACAAAAGUUAUCAUAAGCCUUCAAAUGAACCUUGGCCCACCGGCCCCCAAAUCUUUGCUUUUUAAAAUUAUUCACAAAUUGUUUUCCAAUGUGUGUACAUUUGAUGUUGGUUUCUUUUGAUAACUCAUUUCCAAUAAGACCUUAUUUUAUAUUACAACAAUGAAGAUAGAUAAAUAAAUACAUCAAAAUAUUUAUUAUGUGUACUACAUACAUUUUAUAAUUAAAAUGUGCUAGAUUGUUACCUUGUUAGCUCCAAUCAACCACCUCCCAGUAUUCACAGUUUUGUGUAGUCCCAUUUCACAUAGGCACUAGACUUGGCUAUGUGAUGUGAUGUGUUUUGGCCAAUGGGUCAUUGGCAAGCUUGAAAUAAGAACUUCAUAAGUACUUGUGAGUUAAGGUUUGUCCUGUUAGAAGCUAGUCACCAUGCUAUCAAGACACCCAAGCUAGCUGCAUGGAGAUGAUGCAGGAUUUUUCUUGAUCCCUUUGCCAGCUGGGGACCUCCAGCCAGCAAUGACCCUGCCCAGGCCUCACUUGAGCAUGCUACCUGUUGCAGGAGGUGGCCUGCCCACCCAGCCCACCUGGGCUGCACCUGAAUUGUGAACUGGCUUAGCCCGAAGCUGGGCUGGGCAUGCUCUAGCUCACCUGUGUUAUAGCUCAUACCUGUGUUCAGUGGUUCCUGAGUUCUUGUCCCGCGUCCAAGAAGAAUGAGGAUAUGCUGACAAUUGAAGGGUGAGGAGAGCAGAGAAGAAUUUUAUUGAGUGAUGGAACAGCUCUCAGCAGAGAGGGGAUGUGGGGGUAGUCCCCCACCUGAAGUUGGGUGGUUUCUCUUCCAGUGUAGCUGAAUCUGAGGCUUUUAUGGACUCAGAAUAGGGGAGUGCAUGCUGAUUGGUUUGUGAAUAUGCAAAAAUGGUUAAAACAAAGGCACCACUCAAAUGUGGGCAUGACAGUGUAAAUAAACCAAUUAGGGAAGGGUAGGUAUAUGUAAAAUAGGUGAAGGGUGAGGAUCAAUCAGAGGAAAGCAUGCCCAACAGGAAGAUAGAUUCUCAGUCUGGUCUGUGGAUUUGACUUGUAGUUAGGCUUAAACUGUCUUUGGCUUGGAGAUGGGGUUUCACCAGGGACACGCCCCUAUCUGCCUAUGCAUUUGUCUGCCUCCUGCCACUAUCAGAGAGGCCACAGAGAAGAGAAUUGAGGCUUCCCAGAAAAGAGCCCUGAUGAGGUCCCCGCUCACAAUAUGGAGAGAUCGUUUAGGAUUACCAGCCCCUUUGAAGCCUCCAGAAAAUCACAGCUCUGUUAGUAAUUUUUGUGGACUCCAUGCAAAGAAAAGAAUCAUUUAAUGAGCCCAGUCAACCCAUAGAAUCAUGAGAAAUAAUAAAUCUUUGUAGUUUCAAAGCGCUAAGUUUUGGGAUGGUUUGUUAAACAGCAAGAGAUGACCAAUAUAUCAGACCUGAAAAAUUUAAAGCACCAGGAAAAUUUUAAAGUACCAGGAAAAUUUUAAAGUACCAUCCUAGCACAUAGUAGAUGCUUAAUUAAAAUGUCUAUGAAGAAGAAGGGGUCAAUUCUGUCACUUGGCAUUCAGAUUCCCUUUUUGCUCACUAUAGCCUUCCACUUUAAGAAGAGAACCAACAUCCCUGUUGAACUGGAUUCAUCUGCAAACCAGGCCAGCAAUCCUGGCUCAGGCAGGCCUUCCAGGAGGGCAAACUGUAUAGUUCUAUAGCAAAGGGGGCAUUGUCCUUUCUGAAAUGCCAGAUCCUUUAUAAGCUGGAGAGUUACAGUCACUGUUUGGUAAUUGCCCUGCCCCCUGCUAGUGCUUCCAUUCUUGGCUCUUAUAAUAAAGUUCAGUCUCAUGCUCAUUUUUUAUCUUCCUAAAUGGGGCCUGCCAUGGAGCAGCCAUUUGUAUUACGAUCUUAGGCAACCAUGACUGUUCCCAGCCACAGCAUCCCUAAUGCCACUGCCUUAGUUCAGACCCGUAUCAUUUCUCCCCUGGAUAAUUACAACAGCCCCUAACAAGUCUCCUAGCAUUUUGGCAUACACUCCUCUAUUCCAUUCUCUGUAGCAGGCAGUAGGCCAUUUCUAAAGUACAAACUAAAUCAUUUCACCAUGCUUUUUAAAACCUUCCAAUAGGCUCCCCAUUGCCUCAAAGCAAAAUUUCUCAGACUGGAUUAAUGAGUGAGUGUUCCACAGGGUGUGGGCUAGGAAUGAGAAUAUAGUUUAACACAUUUGGGAAACCCUGGGUUAAACAUGGUUAACCAGGUAUUUUUGUGUGUUUGUUACAGGAUUUCUCAGAGCCUUUAAUAUGCUGAUGCAAAUUGUGAAUCUUAUCACAAGAGUGAUAUAAAAUCAACAUUUACCAAACUUGCUUUCUUGGCAGACUAUCUUUGGUUCCACUGAGUUGCAGUUUAGAAUUUUUCAAGUAUUUCCAAGUCCCUUAGUCUGGUAGACAAGUUUCUUCAUAAUCUGACCCCUGCUUAUUUCUUCAGCACAAGUCUCUACAUUUCUCCCAGGUCCUUGCUUCUUGACAAUUUGGUUCCUAUGUACCUGCUUUCCUUUAUCUAAAGUCAACCAUCCUGUUCUUUCAUAGCCCUGGUUAAUUCUUAUUCAUCCUUUGAAUCUCAGGUCAGUCUUCUCUCCUCUGGGAAAUCUUAUCCUAUCCCCACCAUACCUCAUCCCACCCCACCCUCCCUUGGGCUGAGUUAUACAUUCACCCUAUGACAUCCCAUGCUUUUUCCUAUUAUAUUAACUUUCACACAACCUUAGAGUUUCCUGCUUGUCUCUCCUUGUAGAUUGCAUGUUCCUUUGGGCAGGGCUGUCAGCAGGGCACUUAGUGUGCAUUCAGUAAGUGUUUCUUGAGUAAAUGAGUACUGAGAAAUAGAAUGCAUUUUGUGAAAACAGUUGUUGACUAAGAAUUUUCUGAAUGCAGUCACACUGAUAGUAGAUACCUUUUCAGGUGCCAAUCCAUCUAUGGUGUAAACAUGUCUCUUAUACUGACCAUACUCUACAGGUGUUCUCUGUGAUACUAUCUCCUGGGACCAUUUAAAUUCACAUGAAGAAAACUGAGCCGACCUGACUCAUUCUCUGAGGAUUCGAACUUAGGAAUUGUUAGAAGUUUAUUCAAACUGCAGAAUCAUAAACUGCAGAGCUCUGGUGGCCGUUUUGUGUAUGAGUAAAUGGGAGCGAUGGAAGCAGUUCUGUAGAAAGAGAGGGAGAGAAGUGAAGGGCAUUGGGCUACAGAUGUUCCUCGAUGUCCCAAUAAACCCAUCAUAGAGUUGCAUGAUGUUGAAAAUAUUCUAAGUCACAAAUACAUUUAAUACACCUAACCUACUGAACAUCAUAACUUAGCGUGCCUUCAGUGUGCUCAGAACACUUAGAUUAGCUUACAUUUGGGCAAAAUCAUCUAUUUAACACAAAGCCUAUUUUAUAAUAAAAUAUUGAAUAGCUCAUGUAAUUUAUUGAAAACUAUACUAAAAGUGAAAAACAGAAUGGUUGCAUGGGUACCUGAAAUAUGGUUUCUACCAAAUGUGUAUUGCCUUUGCAACCAUCUUAAGUCAAACCAUCAUAAGCUGGGAACUGUCUGUAUUUAGAAAAAAGCAAAGAUGGAGAGGUAUUCCUAACCCCCUGGGUUCCUAAUUUCUCACAGAUUUCUCAUUUCAGCACUAGCUGAGGUCUGGCUAUCAGCCUGUCACAGAGUUAGGAGUAUGUCAUCACAGUGAUUUUUCUUUCCCCUCCUCCAGCCUAUUUGAAGGAGGCCCUGUUAUGUGUUACCAAUAGGGUCUUUACUAAGCAAUGUCUAGUUUUUUUCCUUGAAAAACUUGAAAUGUGAAUGGCUCUCUCAACAUGCUUCUCUUUGUAACAGCCACAUUGUGAAUAUUAAUGGCAGUACUUAAGCAGGUCGAUUGUGCACUGAGAAUAUGAAAUAUGCAUGUCACUUAAAAACAAAUGAUUGUCCAUACAGUGCUUGGGCUGAAUUAUUCUCCCUCAGGUUGUCACACCUGAUGCAGAGGGAAGCUAAGGCAAUGCAUCUGUGCCAGACUUUAUAGAUCCCAAGGUCAGGAUCAAAAUGUGCAGAUUCAGGAAGAUGCUUUUUCACUAAUGAUUUGUUACCGUUAACUUGACGCACUGGGUGGAUUUAUAUAGAGAAAAAUGUUAAUAAAAUGUUCUUCGAGCUACAUUUCUGCUUUGCUGAGUUGUCAUUCCAUUAAGCAAAUUUGAGGCAAUGUAAUUGCUAUAAGAUUCUACAUAUUUGCAAAUGAAUUUGUGAGUUUAUUUGGGAAAUGAAUGGGUUUUAACUUGGCUUGUUGGACUAAUUUUAUUUUGCUGUUUCCAGGAGAUGUCCUAGCGAG
rnacentral:lncRNA from 10 species